AACGCACAUUGCGCCCGCUAGUAUUCUAGCAGGCAUGCCUGUCCGAGCGUCGUUUCGACCCUCAGGCCCCGCCUAGGCGGGUGACCUGGUGUUGGGGCAUCUACGCGUAAAAAACGUAGGCCCCGAAAUUCAGCGGCGGGCUCGCCGAGACACCGAACGUAGUAAAUCAUACCUCGUUCUGGGCGUCCCGGUGGGUAUCUCCAGCCGUUAAACCCCUCAAUUUUUCACAAGGUCGACCUCGGAUCAGGUAGGAAUACCCGCUGAACUUAA
rnacentral:misc_RNA from 1 species